AGUGAUCGUAUUCUCACGAGACCCUCAAUUCGAUCGAACACAGGCGAAUGACUCUUUCGGGUUUGAGCCUCGUCGCCUCUCUUGGCAGAUAAUGGCCUGGAAAUUCUUCGUCGGCGGCGACUGGAACUUCUCCGGCCUGUGGAUCUUCGUCGUCUAUGCUCACGUCUUGCUAGGAUCCGUCUUGAUGUUAACUAUCCAUCUGCAGGAUUAAUGGGACCAGCGAGGAGGUGAAGAAAAUUGUCAGCACUUUGAACGACCGCAAAGUUGCAUCAACUGAUGUUGUUGGUAUAGAUCUCGAUCAAAUGUUUGGAACUCGUUUGGAAAUUUUGUACUUAUUAUUUGGACGCUUCCCCCUUUUGUUGGAGUUGGAGUGAGGAUAUAUCUUGGUCUCGGUGAUAUUAGCAACUAAAAUCUUUAAUUCGUUCAAAUAUGUAGCUCUUGCUGGUU